rnacentral:rRNA from 1 species
UGUAGUCAUAUGCUUGUCUCAAAGAUUAAGCCAUGCAUGUCUAAGUAUAAGCAAUUAUACGGCGAAACUGCGAAUGGCUCAUUAAAUCAGUUAUCGUUUAUUUGAUAGUACCUUGCUACAUGGAUAACCGUGGUAAUUCUAGAGCUAAUACAUGCUAAAAAUCCCGACUUCGGAAGGGAUGUAUUUAUUAGAUUAAAAACCAAUGCCCUUCGGGGCUCUCUGGUGAUUCAUAAUAACUUCUCGAAUCGCACGGCCUUGAGCCGGCGAUGGUUCAUUCAAAUUUCUGCCCUAUCAACUUUCGACGGCUGGGUCUUGGCCAGCCAUGGUGACAACGGGUAACGGAGGGUUAGGGCUCGACCCCGGAGAAGGAGCCUGAGAAACGGCUACUACAUCCAAGGAAGGCAGCAGGCGCGCAAAUUACCCAAUCCCGACUCGGGGAGGUAGUGACAAUAAAUACUGAUACAGGGCUCUUUUGGGUCUUGUAAUUGGAAUGAGUACAAUUUAAAUCCCUUAACGAGGAACAAUUGGAGGGCAAGUCUGGUAAUCG